rnacentral:lncRNA from 13 species
GCCGUUUCAUUAUUUUCCUUCGAUUCACAAGAGGCUGAAUGUAUCCCACAUGAGAAGAGAUCCGAGUGAGCGAAACAGCGCCCCUCUCUCUCUCUACGUGUUGGCCAUCUAUCUGAUGCUGUCUGGUCAGAAGGAGGAUGACAUUGUUGCGGCCCGUUGUGUUGAAGGCAAAGGGAAGACAGUGGAGGUCGGUGCCGUUCAAAGAUGAGGGAGGACGGUUAUUUAUUUAUGAGCAUGGCCUUAUUUCUAUUACAGCAUACUGGAUGGUUCACAUUCACCCAGGUCAAUGUAACAGUGAUGGGUUUAGGUUACUGUCAUUCACCCAGUUCAAUGUAACAGUGACAGGUUUAGGUUACUGUCAUUCACCCAGUUCAAUGUAACAGUGACAGGGUUUAGGUUACUGUCAUUCAUAUUCACCCAGUUCAAUGUAACAGUGACAGGUUUAGGUUACUGUCAUUCAUAUUCACCCAGUUCAAUGUAACAGUGACAGGUUUAGGUUACUGUCAUUCACCCAGUUCAAUGUAACAGUGAUGGGUUUAGGUUACUACAUGAUACUAGAAUGUUCCCUGUACCCAUCAUGAGGUUGCUACAACCUAGCCUACGAAUUAAAGUUUACAACGUAGGCACACAGGUCGAGAGAUAAAUUUGAGGUGACAGACCGUGACAUUCAAUAUCGCCUUGCACACGCUUGCCUGCAUCUAGCUGAUCUACGGUGUAGUCAUUAGUCUAACAGUUGCAUACGAGAGUUUCUAUUGGAUAAAUUCAGGUAUGUUUAUCCCUGUUUUGUUCUUUUUGCUUCCGUUUUAAGAAAUGUUUUUCAACAGAAUCGGUCGAAUGAAUACACCCCUGAUCACAGUUAACUUUCAUAGCAGCCACGUUGUAUUCCUUCUCACAUUUCUCCUCCUCUCACCUCUUCCCUUUGCAUGUGGAGUUCAAUGCACAAAACAUCAGCUGUAUGUGACCAGGUGAACAAACCUUUCCAAGCCAAACCUUCAUAUCAUAACCUCUACAAACAGCCUACAUCGUUGUCACCAUAUUAGCUGAAGUAACGUCAUAGUCAGCACAGCUAAUAGAACUAACUCGUUAGUAAACCUGCUACAAUCAUGCAGUACCGUUACAGUGUACAGUCAGUAAGCAGUUUAGCAGUUACGGCAAGCCCCGGAGGCAAUAAAUUAGUANNNNNNNNNNCCCUGCUGCCCCAAGGCCAAAUAGCAUUUGUUAUGUUUUUUUAAUAAAUUCUUUCCAAUGUGUCAAGUAAUUAUCUUUUUAUUUUCUCAUGAUUUGGUUGGGUCUAAUUGUGUUGCUGUCCUGGGGCUCAGUGAGGUGUGUUUGUGUUUGUGAACAGAGCCCCAGGACCAGCUUGCUUAGGGGAUUCUUCUCUAGGUCAUUUACAUUUUAAACUACUGUUGGUAAUAUUUCAUAAAUAAACUUCUACAAUUAUCUUGGAAAUGAGUAUNNNNNNNNNNACAUAUAUAUAUAAUAUACAUAUAUAUAUAUAUUAUAUAUAAUAUAUGUAUAUGUAUAUUAUAUAUAUAUAUAUAUAUUAUAUAUAAUAUCUAUAUAAUAUAUAUGUAUAUUAUAUAAAUAUGUAUAUUAUAUAUAUAUAUAUGUAUAUAAUGUAUAUGUAUAUUAUAUAUAUAUAUGUAUAUUAUAUAUAUAUAUGUAUAUUAUAUAUAUAUAUAGUGCACUACUGUUGACCAGGGCCCAUAGAGCUCUGGUCAAAAUAAGUGCACGCCGUAGGGAAUAGAGGGCCAUUUGGGACGUAGCCCCUAGGUGCCUUGGCAUAACGUCAGUAAUACAUACUAACACGUUGAUGAUGAUUUAUUUUGUUUUCAGAUUUUUCUAAUGCUGUUACCAAACAAACACUG